UAGAGAGGUGGACGACGAAAUUUGCAGCCGCCAUUUUGGAUAGCGGUGGAUUUGAAGUUUCCUCCUGGACGUGAAAUUAAGCCUCAGUGACAUAUUUCUCCGGAUGAAUGGUGGCUCACUGGGAUAAAACCUGACAUCCGAGCAUCAACGAUGACUCACAGACUGAACUCUAAAGGUGAAAUAAUUUCAGUGCCGACGUGCAGCGAUCACAGAUGCUAGCUGGCUAGCAUGCUAACUUCAUCUGAAGAAAAGAAGAGAUAGAAAACAUUGGCGUUGCUUUCCACUGCUGAACACACCUCUUGGCGAGUAGAGGAAUGAAGUUUGAUGCUGAACUCACGUUUGACUGAGUUCCCACCUCUGGAAUGCACAGGCACUUCUCCAAAUCCCGCGGAGGAGAAAAUAAUGCAUUGUCUGUAGCGUUGUCACCACGACUCAAAGGAGAGCAAAAUUGUUUUGAGGAGAAAUUGAUUGCAACGCAGCGCUGAAGUUGUUCCUCAUCUUGUAACUCUGUCCUCUUGAUAUCCGAUUGUUCUUCCUUUGUUUUAAGGCACAUAAAAGUCCAACAGACUGAGACAGUUGCAUCUGUUCACAAGCAGGCGCCUAGCUGCCACUGAGGAAACUGAAGUCAUGUCGUUGGUAUUUUUUCUGGGAAUCUGGGGAUUUUUAGAAACCUAGGGCAACUUCUACAAUUAAAUUUUAGAAUUAAAAACUUAAACUGGUGGUUAUUUAUAUUUUUACAUCAAAUAUGCUUAAUAUGAAGUUACAGUGAGCUACAUGAAGAAUAAAUACUGGAAAUGAGGGGAAACUGCUUGGCUCUGUUCAGCUUCAUGUUUAUGGUGCAGACAUGAGAGUGGUAUCAAUCUCCUUUUCCAACUCUCAGCAAUCAUGAAAAUGAAACAACUUCCCAAAAUGUG